UAGGGAAUCUUCCGCAAUGGGCGAAAGCCUGACGGAGCAACGCCGCGUGAGUGAUGAAGGUCUUCGGAUCGUAAAACUCUGUUAUUAGGGAAGAACAAAUGAGUAAGUAACUAUGCACGUCUUGACGGUACCUAAUCAGAAAGCCACGGCUAACUACGUGCCAGCAGCCGCGGUAAUACGUAGGUGGCAAGCGUUAUCCGGAAUUAUUGGGCGUAAAGCGCGCGUAGGCGGUUUUUUAAGUCUGAUGUGAAAGCCCACGGCUCAACCGUGGAGGGUCAUUGGAAACUGGAAAACUUGAGUGCAGAAGAGGAAAGUGGAAUUCCAUGUGUAGCGGUGAAAUGCGCAGAGAUAUGGAGGAACACCAGUGGCGAAGGCGACUUUCUGGUCUGUAACUGACGCUGAUGUGCGAAAGCGUGGGGAUCAAACAGG
rnacentral:rRNA from 1 species